rnacentral:rRNA from 1 species
AAAUUGAAGAGUUUGAUCAUGGCUCAGAUUGAACGCUGGCGGCAGGCCUAACACAUGCAAGUCGAGCGGUAGCACAGAGAGCUUGCUCUCGGGUGACGAGCGGCGGACGGGUGAGUAAUGUCUGGGAAACUGCCUGAUGGAGGGGGAUAACUACUGGAAACGGUAGCUAAUACCGCAUAACGUCGCAAGACCAAAGUGGGGGACCUUCGGGCCUCAUGCCAUCAGAUGUGCCCAGAUGGGAUUAGCUAGUAGGUGGGGUAACGGCUCACCUAGGCGACGAUCCCUAGCUGGUCUGAGAGGAUGACCAGCCACACUGGAACUGAGACACGGUCCAGACUCCUACGGGAGGCAGCAGUGGGGAAUAUUGCACAAUGGGCGCAAGCCUGAUGCAGCCAUGCCGCGUGUGUGAAGAAGGCCUUCGGGUUGUAAAGCACUUUCAGCGGGGAGGAAGGCGUUAAGGUUAAUAACCUUGGCGAUUGACGUUACCCGCAGAAGAAGCACCGGCUAACUCCGUGCCAGCAGCCGCGGUAAUACGGAGGGUGCAAGCGUUAAUCGGAAUUACUGGGCGUAAAGCGCACGCAGGCGGUCUGUCAAGUCGGAUGUGAAAUCCCCGGGCUCAACCUGGGAACUGCAUUCGAAACUGGCAGGCUAGAGUCUUGUAGAGGGGGUAGAAUUCCAGGUGUAGCGGUGAAAUGCGUAGAGAUCUGGAGGAAUACCGGUGGCGAAGGCGGCCCCCUGGACAAAGACUGACGCUCAGGUGCGAAAGCGUGGGGAGCAAACAGGAUUAGAUACCCUGGUAGUCCACGCCGUAAACGAUGUCGAUUUGGAGGUUGUGCCCUUGAGGCGUGGCUUCCGGAGCUAACGCGUUAAAUCGACCGCCUGGGGAGUACGGCCGCAAGGUUAAAACUCAAAUGAAUUGACGGGGGCCCGCACAAGCGGUGGAGCAUGUGGUUUAAUUCGAUGCAACGCGAAGAACCUUACCUGGUCUUGACAUCCACAGAACUUUCCAGAGAUGGAUUGGUGCCUUCGGGAACUGUGAGACAGGUGCUGCAUGGCUGUCGUCAGCUCGUGUUGUGAAAUGUUGGGUUAAGUCCCGCAACGAGCGCAACCCUUAUCCUUUGUUGCCAGCGGUCCGGCCGGGAACUCAAAGGAGACUGCCAGUGAUAAACUGGAGGAAGGUGGGGAUGACGUCAAGUCAUCAUGGCCCUUACGACCAGGGCUACACACGUGCUACAAUGGCAUAUACAAAGAGAAGCGACCUCGCGAGAGCAAGCGGACCUCAUAAAGUAUGUCGUAGUCCGGAUUGGAGUCUGCAACUCGACUCCAUGAAGUCGGAAUCGCUAGUAAUCGUAGAUCAGAAUGCUACGGUGAAUACGUUCCCGGGCCUUGUACACACCGCCCGUCACACCAUGGGAGUGGGUUGCAAAAGAAGUAGGUAGCUUAACCUUCGGGAGGGCGCUUACCACUUUGUGAUUCAUGACUGGGGUGAAGUCGUAACAAGGUAACCGUAGGGGAACCUGCGGUUGGAUCACCUCCUUACCUUAAAGAA